rnacentral:rRNA from 1 species
UACGGAGGGUGCGAGCGUUAUCCGGAAUCACUGGGUUUAAAGGGUGCGUAGGCGGCGAGGUAAGUCAGUUGUGAAAUCUCUUGGCUCAACCAAUGAAAUUGCGAUUGAUACUGCUUUGCUUGAAACAGGUUGAGGUGGGCGGAAUGUGGCAUGUAGCGGUGAAAUGCAUAGAUAUGCCAUAGAACACCAAUUGCGAAGGCAGCCUUCUGGGCCUGAUUUGACGCUGAGGCACGAAAGCGUGGGGAGCAAACAGG